CCAUAGUGAUGCAUUUUUUAGAUAUUACUUUCUAUUUUUGAUCUUCGAGUUUCCGUAUUUGUGUAUCAUCACCUGUUGAAUCACCUUGUGCAAUAGCCUUAGAAACUGAUUCAUUUAACAUAUAAACUCUGUGAUGGAAUAUAGCAUCAAUUGGCAUUCAAUAAGGUUUGUCAAGAUAUUUGAUGUUACAAUAAAUGGUAAAAAUUAAUAACCUUUAUUUCUUACUGAGCUAUAGAGUUUGUUGGAUUUUCACUCACCUAUUGUCUGGAAAAGAUGGUCAAGGAUAAUGGAGGAUGAGUUGUUCUUGUACUGUGUGUUUGGAAGAAAGCUAAAGAGCUAAGAUUCAGACUGCUUUUAGACUUAGGCAUGUCUAACUUUAACAUAGAAAUGUAAAAACCAAGAUGUGGAUUGAAACAAUAAUUUACAAUCAUGCAAUUUCUACGAGGAUGUAGUGAAAUUCUUGUUUAAUCUUUUAACCUUUUAAUCACUGUUGCGG
rnacentral:lncRNA from 1 species